rnacentral:rRNA from 1 species
GACAGAGGGGGCAAGCGUUGCUCGGAAUUACUGGGCGUAAAGGGCGCGUAGGCGGGAUGGCAAGUCGGUCGUGAAAUCCCCUCGGCUCAACCGAGGAACGUCGAUCGAUACUGCUGUUCUUGAGGAUUGCAGAGGAGACUGGAAUUCCCGGUGUAGCGGUGAAAUGUGUAGAGAUCGGGAGGAACACCGGUGGCGAAGGCGGGUCUCUGGGCAAUUCCUGACGCUGAGGCGCGAAAGCGUGGGGAGCAAACGGGG